ACACACACACAAACACGACAGCACAGAUUCACCCCGUCAGGGUGAAAAAAAAAAAGAAGAAAAGAAAGAUGAAAAUACCGAAGAAGAAAUACACUUGCACACUACACACAAACACACACACACACACACAGGAAAGCGCGACUGCGCCAGAGGCUCUGCAUUUAAAAUGUCAUUCGAUGCCCUAAAACACUUACACACUAGAAUAUUAGCCCAAGUCAAGUCAUCUCGUCAGCAGAAUUAGCUCAAGGACAGGCUGAUAUAUGAAUGAGACACUGGCACACACUACACAACCAAAACGCAGCACAGAUUCUCCUUGUCAGGGGGCAAAAAGGAGAAUUAGUUCGCGUACAUUCUGAAGGAGGACAAUAAUGACGAAGAAAUAGACUUGAACACUACACAAACACACACAGGAAAGCGCGACUGCGCCAGAGGCUCUGCAUUUAAAAUGUCAUUCGAUGCCCUAAAACACAUUACACACUAGAAUAUUAGCACAAGUCGCCGUCGAAGUAAUACAAAACGUUUUUCCAAAUUUAUUACAUAAAUUAAAACAUUUGCUGUAAUAGUUUAUACAAUUUUAAAUUUGGA